rnacentral:rRNA from 1 species
UACGUAGGCAGCGAGCGUUGUUCGGAGUUACUGGGCGUAAAGAGUGCGUAGGCGGUUUUCUAAGUUUGGUGUGAAACCUCCAGGCUCAACCUGGAGACGCCACCCGAUACUGCUGUGGCUAGAGUCCAGUAGGGGAGUGUGGAAUUCCCGGUGUGAGCGGUGAAAUGCGCAGAUAUCGGGAGGAACACCAGCGGCGAAGGCGGCACUCUGGGCUGGUACUGACGCUGAGGAGCGAAAGCGUGGGUAGCAAACAGG